CCACAUAUCUGGAAAUAUCUAUAGCGAUCGAGUGUAGUCUAGAACAUGAUGGCAAAAUAAAUAUGAAUAUAACUAGAGACCCAAAAACAGAAAAAAUCAAAUAAAGUAUAUACAGGUGUGACUCAAAUCCCAUGCCAGAUAAAAGCGGGGGAUAUAUAUACAAGGGGCUAAGUAUCUGCCGUCUAAUGUCCUGCCUCAACCCUGAUUACCAACUUUAUUAUGAAAUACUAAAAGGGUAUGAGUGACAAAUGGCUAGACCCCCAACAUACUACCCCACUUGAAAAAGUCAGUAAUCAUUAUAACAAAAAGGCUCACAGUAGAGCUAAUAGAUAUAGAAGGGAGAGAUGGAAAGUGAAAUGUAGUCAGUAAUCAGUCUUAAAAAACAGACUGGUAUUUAAAAUUAAACAAGCCUCUCUCCCUGUAAAUCUAACUAAACAGGCAUAGGAAAAGUGUAGAAAAAUAGAGAUAAGUGUUAAAUAAAAAUCAUGGUGCUACAGUCACCAGUGCCCAGUGCUCAUAUACAUGAUAUGAGGAGAAAAAAUGCCCGACGUACGUUUCGGUGCUAUAAAGGAGCACCUUCGUCAGGGGCCAACAAGAAACUGAUUGAGAGGUCUCUUAAAUACAGAAAGUGCCAAAAGAGUAUGAAUACCUUGAGCCAAUAGGAUCUGGGGGUGUGGAAACUCAGGUGGACGUAAUCUCCAAAAUGUCUCUGUGUCCUAGUAAGCCACAAGAGACGGAUGUAGGCGGGGCUUGCUGCCGAACACGUGACCCGGUAUCCUAUGGGUCACGUGGUCUAAGCGGCACGACGGAAAGUAGGAUGGAACACGUCGUGGGCGUAGUUAGGUAUGUAAAAGAGGGCGGGGAUCCCCACAUACAGCUAGAGAUUACUCCGCCCCUCACGGUCAAAUGGGCGGGUACGCCAAGAUCAAGGGGGGUGCACCUAAGAUAUUGAGAAUUGCCCAAUAUGUUAGAAUUGAGUUUAGAGAUAAUAAUGAUCCAAUACAAACGACCAGUAGGAAUAAUAACACAGUAACUACAUCUACAUAGGCAUUCCGGAAUGUCCCCAAUAGAGACUCUCACUUAA